GGCCCGGCCCUGCCCUGCCCGGCCGCCACGGAGCGCGGCUGCGGAGCGGGCUGGAAAGGCGGAGGGGCGGCGAGCCCGUGCGGUGCCCAGGUAAAAGAAGGACCACCUAUGUGGAUGCCACAGCCCAUGCCACAGGUUAAACAUUUCCACCUUGUGAGUCCAAACCAACGAAACAGCGACUAAACCUCUUCAUUCCAGGUUGGCUGCCACAUAGAUGUGGGUGUCACCCCCAGAAGACUGAAACCUGCAUUGUGCCGAUAUUUUUGGCUGAAAUGCUGUACAUAAAUCAAGACGAGCAAGAGGGACAGAAGGGACCACAGAUGAGUAAAGCCACUCCAAAAGGAACAACUCCAGAAUAUCUCAGCAGGAACAGAGGAACAAUGGCAAAGGACUGAACACAAACACUUCCCACUUUAGAAGCAGAGUUCCACAAGGAUGGAAACAACAUAUGGAGGGAAAGGGAAACAGACUGAAGAUGAGGAAGCAGAUGAGGAUCAGAGAAAUGAAGCUGUGGAGAAGACAUCAUGGGGUUUGUAGGUUUCUCCUGCAGGUCAGAGCACAUGAAACUAGGAAUGGAGAGACAAGCAGCACUUCAAAAAUGUCUGGUUUUAGAAGCCCAAUUGCUCUUCAAUUAGCACAUAGCUCUUUUCUUAAUAAACUCCCUUGUAUCUCUGGACACAACCAAUGGUGAUUUGCAUUCUCUCCCACAAAAGACAGUGAAAGCAAUUAGUGGAAAAGUGAGUAACUAUUAUUAAUAGUUACAUUUUCUGCCUGGGCUGGCAGGGCCAGUGGGGCUGUAACAACCACCAGCUCACAGUAAAACGACCUACAGCAAGCUGCUCAGCCACACAGAGCACCAGGGAGAAAUCAGUCCCUCCAACAGAUUCUCCCUCAUUGCAUCAGUCAAGCUUAUGUAGAAACAUGCAGCAUUUAAAGGCCACAUUAGCAGACACAUCCUUAGACUGCUGCAGAGAUGAUGUCUACAAUCACAUUAUCUGCCCCCUCAGAUUUACCUGAUCUUUUGAAUUGUUCUUUGCAGUAUACUUGAAGGAUUUCUUGCUUGACUGAAACAUUCCAUUAUUUAUUUCUUAUAGGAAACAAAAAACAUUAUCAGAUUCAGAGCUCUUUCUUUGCAAGAGUCCCCUCACAGCCCCAAUUAAUAAGGGGAAGCAAAAUCACUCAGGUGUUGCCUGAUGUUAACUUGAGACACCUGCCAUGGUGGCAAAGCUGAGCAGAAGAGUGUCUGAAAGAAGGGCUGAAAGCAACUGUGAAUUAUUUUCCAAGUUACCCUGCUGUGCCAGUUUUAGGCAGUUUUCAUCCUGCCUCCUGUUAAUCUGCACUUGCUUCUUCCCUACUGUGUUCCUGCUUGCUGCUCUCUUCUGUGCAAAUCUUCCAACUUUCAGCCACAACACUGAAACGCUCUCUCACUUCUUGGUCCAUACAUUUCCUGCUUUAAAAUGCCAACACCUCUGCUUUUGCCCACAAAACAGUGUAGUUCUACUAUUCAAUAGCUUUUAGCUAUACCAUAGCUUUCAGUUCCAUUGCAUAUUCAUCUUGAAAAUUAAAUUUUAGCAGGCAAUGAUCCCUGCUACUUUUCCCCUGGACCAGGCUUUGCCAGACACUUUCUCAUUAUGUCACUUGGAUUCAAUUUCACUUUCCUUCAGACUAAAUAUUGCCACAGAUACCCAAUACUUUCACUCUGCUAUAUAAAAAUAGAGAGACCUUUCAUCCACUUUUUUUUUUUUUCAAUUCUAGCACUGUUCAUAUGCAAUACGACAGAAACUUUUGCUGCCAGCGUUUCUGGUUUCUCCCCAAACUCCCAACCAAUUGGUUGCAUUCAGACAGCUGGAGUCUAGCCCUGUAUUAUUAAUGUGAGGAGAAGUGUUUCCAUUCACCCUAGUGCCCAGGAGCUGGAUGUAGCCCCUGCACACCUGAAAUCCAAGAACACCCCUGUGGCAUGUGGCACAGGACAUUCCGGGAGCUGCAGGCCACGGCCUCCUUUUUAAUGGGCUUGUUUCCUCUCAGUGCUUUAGAGCAGCAGGAGAAUAAAAGGUUAUGUUUGUAAAAAAUAUCACUGCUUCAAAUUGCAGUAACAUAUGUGGCUUUUCCCGAUAUAUUGCCACUAAAGGGCUUUACAGCUUCCCUUGCCCAUUACCUAUAAACCAGCCUCCUUGCUUCCACUGCCUCCCUCUUUGGCUGCUAGUGGAAUUGGGAAAAACUGUUUUACUGGCAAAAAAACCCCAUAAAGUAGGUGUGGAGACACCCGUGAUGAGUACUGUGUAGAGAGGGGCUCAGUGGGACAUUGAUAUUUAGGCAUGACACUAAAUCCCUAAAUUAGUCUUGAGGAAUUGAAGAAAUACCUGAAAGACUCUUGAUGUGGAAAAGAAGCUACUAAACUCAAGGCCCUUCCUGCCUGACUUUGCAGACAGCCACCUGAUGCAUAGCUGGGUGCAUUUUGGGCCAUAGCAGCGUGAAAGCACCCAGGAUGCAUCCAGCUACAGGAGCUGAAGUUAGUGAUUGAAAGGCUUUUUUAGGUGCAUUUUCUGUGCAAAACGCUUUUCCUCGAUAGAGGUGGCAGCAGCAGGGUGGAGACAAUCACCACAAGGUUUGACAGUCUGUUCAAACACAAGUCAUCCUCCCCAGAGGUAAAUGACCCUCUUUUACUCACCUCACAGUUUUCUUGUGGGGCUACAGCAGAUGCUGUGAUACCAAUAUAGCCAUGGCAGCAGCACCUAGCUGUAAGCAUUAGCCAGAAAGAGCAGCCUAUGGAAAAGAGGUGCUGUAAAAUAGCCCAUUACUUCAUGGAAUGGAUUCCAGGAAAACACGUUACAUUUUGAUUACGGAUAUUCAGAGCGGGAACUGCUAGUACAGCACUUGAGAUAAGGAAGAGGCCAGAUAGACCUAAAUAGCAAAGCUUGGUAUGACUUCUUAUGUAAUUGUCAGCGCCCCAUCACCAUGAGGUCUGCGUGUCUCGGGCAGCUAAAAAUAGAGCAGCUUCCCCUUGCCUUUCUCACCCUCCAGCCUGCGUGAGGAAAGACCUGACUCACUCACUUGUGUUCGGGACAGCCCUCUGAGCCCCCAUGGGCUUUCCUUUCAAAGGCAAUAUAAGAAUAAUACUGACUUUGUAAGAGUAUUUUCAUAAUAGGAUUUUUUUUCCAUGUGGCACACUCGCAAGAUGCUGGGGCUUUCACGGUCAUUGCCAAUGUUUGAUAAUACUGAGAUGAGACAUUUGAGUUCCUUUGCAUAAAAGGAAACAUCCUAUAGGCUGGAAUGGAAACGUGGGUAAGACUUCUUCCAAACUGCUUAUUUAAAAAGUGACAUUCUUUGAGAGAGAAGACUUGGAAACCCUGCCCCUAGAAAUACAAUGUUUACAUUAACUUCUGGUUACUGCCAUAAGGCAUGCCAGAUUAAGGUGUGAGGAUAAUAUUAAUUCAUUGCCUGCUAUUUAUUCAUGGUUCCUGGAGAGGGUCCCAGGCAUAUGUUUUGGUGACAAUUCCAGCUGUGCAUUUGAAUCUAUCACUGAAAUUCAUCAUAUUAUGCAGAUAGAAAUACUAAGUGGCGAAAUUUGGACCCCAGUUGAGAUCCAACAUCUCAGUUGUUGCAUUGCUUGGAUCUUGAGGAUUGUUUUGUAUUUCUGAUGUAAUACAUACAGCUGAAACCCAGAUAUUUCAGUGACUUUGACCACAUCCUGCAGUCAGGGAGUGUGAAGUGUCUGAGUUUGGGCUGGAAAGAGGAGGAGACCGCCACAACACUGUCUGCUCAGACUUCAUCCCAGCCUCUGCCUCUGUUAAAUGAGGAUAAUUACACUUUCUUGCCUGUCAGAAGAGCUGGGAGAUGGCCUGUUGAUAAGUUAUUCCUCACAGUGCUUGCCAACUGCUUAAAUAUAGUCUGUAAAUAUUUUGUGAAUGCUUUGUAACUGUAAACACGUCACAUUUCUGCUCCAAGUCUUUCAGAUUUUUGCACAACUCCCAAGGAAUGCUGUCACAAGAGCAGGGGUAAGAGGGCAGGGAACUCUGGGGUGGGACAGGAGGAGACAAGGGUCCAGACAAGGGUGUCUGGGGCAAGGACAAGGACAAAUGACACAGGAUGUCCUCCUGGGAUGAGCAGCCAGAGCAGCUUUGCAGUCCACCCAAGGCAUUCAGUGGUUUCACUGUGUUCCUAUACCAAAGGGACAGAGCUCCUGGGUUUGGACACUCACCUGUAAGAGGAAACAAUGAGUGGAGAUGGUGCAGCCUCAGUGGGGCUCCAAGAAAGGUGCCCACCAGGCAAUGAUCAUCCAUUCUCCCCCACCCCACAAGAACUGGAGGGCACCGAGUGAAGUUGCAAGCAAAGGGAGGCUCUGUUUAGUGUAAAUCCCAGUUAAACUGCAGAGCCAGUGGAACAUUUUCACAGUUAGGCUUUUGCAUGAGUCCCAGGAGCAAUUUCAUAAAUCCAUGGAAGAGAAGAGGUCUGUGAAAGCUUAUUAAAUACCAUUUCUGGCCUAGAAUCACCAGAAGUUCCUGGAGAACGGAGCAGGAAAGUUUUGGUACCCAUUUUGCUUCUCUUUGUGGUUACUUAUUGCUGGUCACUGUUGGAGACAAGAUACUGACUCAACUGGACCCUUGGUCUGAGUAUGUAUGUUUUUUUGUUUGGUUGGUUUUGUUUUGUUUUGUUUCUGUGCAAAGAAAAUCUUGUUUCUAUCUAUUCAGGCUGUAGAGACAAGCUUGAAAAGAAGGUCAAGACUUAAGAAAAUUCACUGUGGUAGUCCUCUGCUUUUUACCCAAUUUGAUGAUAAUGUUAGAGUCUGGCUUGAGUGUUUGUCAUCACUUUUCCUGGCCUUGCUGUAUCCACUGGAGUCCAGCCCCAGAUUUUAGGAGCACAAUGGAGGGGACUUCCUUACCACCCGCCUUUGACCUUGGCAUCUCCAUUGAUUCCCACCUACAGACUGAUUUUCUCCCUUUUUUUAGCUUGGGUUAUUGAAACUGCUGAUUUUUCUGUAGCCUGUGGUAAAAGAGUUUUCAGUAUUUUAACAGCAGUGAUGUUCCAGAAGUGCACAACCACCUUUUCUGAAACAGAGGCAUGUGAAGAAGAGACUCAAACCGUCAAAUUUUUAGGGUGGUUGAAACCUACCCUUACACAAGUUUGGAAACAGCACCUCAGUUGAAUCGGAAACAUGCCAUGGGAGUUUCUCCUCUGGAAAUUUUAGUUGUUAAUUCUUGCUGGAGAGGAAGAGCUUUACCCAAAAGCAUAGGUCUUGGUACAUCAGGAGCACCAGAGCAUGGCAGAACAACCCAAUCGUGAAGGACCAUCUGCCAGGCACCCUCAGCACAGCUCAGAAGCUGCUCCAGGAAAAAUCAUCACAUAGGAGAAAUAAAUCCAGACCUGCACAAAACCAAAGGCUUUCUGAGUAAGCAUCCUAUGCCAGUAGGGAUGCAAGCCAAGGCAUCCAUGAUAAAAAAAAAAAAAACAAAAACCCCCAGUCACUCCCCAAACAGGCAAGAUAGUAAAACCCUGAAAAAAGAAGUCUUUUUUUCACUUGCCCAUUUCCCUUGGCCUUUGCAGACCAGACCAUCUGUCAGCCUAAAGUCUGGGGGGACAAGGCAUGUAGGAGAGAGCCCCAGGAGCUUGGCAGGGAGUUCAGCACUUGCUGCUGGGCUCUGAUGCACCAAAAUAAGGUUUUAAGCUAUACUGUGAUGGAAAGACAAUUUGGUGCCAGGAGGAAAAGGCCACACCACCUCAACUCCCGGCCCCAGAAAAGUGUGUCGCUUUUGUGAGGAGGGAAAAAUAACACAACGCAGGCUCAGCCCUGCCAGGCAGCUGAAGUUCAAGUUAUUUCCACAUUACAAAAUACCUUAGGGGACAUGCAAUUUUUCCACUAAAGUUUACAAAAAGGAUAACAGAGAUCCUACUGGUCUCUUGGCAGUUUUCCUCCUCAGUGAAUGAGAAGCAGUUCCUUGCUCAAUGGCUGUGCGUUGUCAGGAAAUUGACUGCGUUUCUUCAGCAGGACUCCUGCUUUGUGACUCUCCUGACAGUCACACAUGCGCUGAGACUCAAAGCAACGUCAGCCUGUUUAAAACCAUCAGCAAGCAGAAUCAGCCAUUAUUAAAGGACUUGCGAAUGAGAGUGGAUCUUGGGGUGCUGGCCUCCUCAAUAACACGACUGCCUGCUGCCAGAGGCCUGGGCAAAAGGCAGGGACUUAUCUAAACCCACAUCAUCCAUUCAUGACAACCAUGCACCACUGGUAACAGCAGCAGCCCUUCUCCUCACCUCUUAGUGCAUAUGUCUUUGGCUGAUUGAAUCCAGAACAAGGUCCUGAAGAUGACAAGGGUCUUCUGGAGCUUUGCUUUAAGGUGAAGAAUGCAGCUGACCUUUUAAAUAGAAAUGCCUGUGUGAUACAUAACUACAAAUAUUGAAGAAAAAUGUUUCAGAGUAAAAAAUGUCAAUAUAUUGUAUAAUUCACUAAUCCCUACAGACGUUUUCUCUCAGGGGAUUUUACAAUGAAAUAUUGGCACCAGGGUUGCUGACACACAGUCAUCUCCUCAUGCUGGCACAGGGGAGAGUCGGUAACAGUGGAUUUACACCUGGCUUUGACGUUUUGCAGUUAGCUUUUCAUGUCCUGCUACAGCCUGUAGCACUAACAAGUACAACCAGAGGGCAUCCCAGACACACCAUAAAACAAGUAAAAUAUGUGGACAGGCAUCUGAACUCUUAGUAAGCCAUAAUGUAUGUUAAUACAUGGGUAAAAGUGACAGGUACAACAAAGGCAUCCCAGCACCAAACUUUUCACCUAAAUUGUCCAUUCAAGGUGCAGACAGAGCAUUGAUCACGGACUGAGAUUAUGGAUGAGGUGCAAAGCUGGGGGGAAAGUAAGGAAAUUAAAAAAGAGGGUAUUUGCCUCCCAGCGUUUUCCAGUUUUUGCACAUCACAACACAAACUUUUUUCAGGCAGUGGGGUGGAAGGGGUUCCUUGUUCAGGUGCAUCUCCUGCAAGGAGUGAAAUGGAUGAAUGUCUGGGGACUGAGUGAGCUUUCUGAAAGAACAUCGUGUUUCAUACCAGCCCAAAGCUGCAAGAUUCAUUAAAAUUCAAGUAAGUAAAUUUUCUUAUUUGGAAACUUUAUCUAACCAUUGAUUUAACUAUUAAAAAAUACCGUUGUCCGUGAUAAAAGAAAAUGUUUACACUUAUGGUCUGGAUUUUCUGUUACUCAUGAAAACUGGAACACAUCCUAUAAUUGUGCUAUACAGAGUUUUAGCAGAAACAAACAAUUACUGAUUAACUUUCAUUCAGAUUUAGGACAAAAAUCAAAGUCUGCUGUCAGAGUUUUGAUGUAUUAACUUUGGCUAUUUUUUUUCAGUUUUGUUCACCUGAUACCUGACAUCCCAGUUGAAGUCAUUGUAUUUCAAAAGUAGCUGAGCAACUUCAGGUUUUACCAAGUCAGUGAACUCUAAAUUUAGAUGUUAUGCACUCCAGCAGGUGAGUGCUUGCACCUGAGCAGCCUAAAUGACUUGAAAAUAAAGUCAUAUAUAUAUGUACCUUACUAUUAACUGGACAAGAGCACAGGUUUCAGAAACCUUGACUCAACUUUUUUAUUGCUCCUCCUGGCUCCAAAAAUAAUGAUUGAAUAAGAAAAACAAACAAUGGAUAAUUCAGUUUAAUUCCUAAGAAUUUUUUAUUCCAUUUGAGUGAACCAAUACAUUCCUUUGUGAAACAGGAAGCAACAAUAAUUAGUGUACAUUUUUAUGUGCCAUCUAUUCUAAUGUGGCAACAGAGAAACUUGCAAAAUUUUCCUGCAUUGUGGUAGUCAAUUUGAGACCCAUUUACUCUGUGACUGAUGUUUCUGUGGAAGUCUCACAGUGACUGCAGUAAGUCUAUCCGAUAUUUCGUACAACUUCGUGUUUUAUCUACCACUAUCCCGUUUGGAAUUUUAGCCUGCUUCAGUUUCAAUAAGCAGUGAUCUUGACAGUAGCUUCUGAAGCAAUGGUACUAACAGUGUAUGACACUAACAGCAUAAAAGUGAAACAUUGUUUGCACAUACCUCAAGCCUGCUAAUUUUCUGAGACAUGCUCACAGUACCAGCACAGUAACAGUACCAAACACAUGCAAGAGAUCACUGGAGAGUCUUUCUGUAGGCUAACAAGUAGAAUGCAAGACUUCAGACACAGAGGAAUUUGUUGACUAUGACUUCAGGUCCUCCUUCCUUCAUCCUGCCAAAACCUAUGGCAAUACCUUGCCUACAGUCUUACCUGUAUAAAUCUGUCAUAAUCUGAGUGCAAAAUCUACUCCAGAGCAUGUUUUUAUAACAUGGAACACCAAAUGCAUUUUCUAUUCUUGUUUUGGAGUAAUUACAACAGUGAAAGUCAGGUCUAAGGCUUGGAAGCCCUGAAAGAACACUUGCUUCCUAACAUCUGGCUCAAGGUGAAAGGAGAUACAGCAGCUGAGGAUUUAAAAUGCAAGAAUAAGUAAGGUCACUGACUGCAUAGUGUAGGGAAAAAAAAAAAUCAGAGGGCAGGUUCAGCAAAAAAAAAAAGGACGAGAAUCCAAGAUGGCAGGACAGUAUGUUUGGCUGAGGACUAGGCCUGCCCAUUUCUCAUGAGCAUAAUACAUAAUUAAGAUUUGAUUACUCAUUGUGGCCAAAACUAUGCAGUGGAUGAAAACCUGGCACUGUGGAACUGCAAGUGAGCACGUCCCUGUCCCAGUCCCCGGCAGCUGUCCUGCACUCUCUGCUCACUGUGCCAGUCCUCAAAUGGAGGAAUUGCCCUUGGAAUUGCUGAGCUCAUUGUAGAUGACCUUGGCAUGAUUCCUGGACCCGUCCGAAAACUCAGCAUGCAGUGGGCACAGGCUUUGGCAGCCUGGCUGCAGGAACAGCAGCCUGCUGCUGCCCCAGCUGAGCCUUGGUCCCCCAGCACCACACACCAGGGCUACACAAAGGGAACCACAUGCAUGAUGUGGCUCCACCACCGAUUUCCUCCCUGCUUUCCAUGGUAAGGAAGCAUGAGGGUCUCUACCCAGUAGAGCACCUCAAAAAAUAGCAGCAUUAAGAGUGUCAGCAUUGCAUUAGGCAGCCUGGCACAGCAAUUGCCUCUGUAACCCACCAGUGCUUUUUUUUUUUGUCUUUUUCUAAAAAUUGUACAGUCUGUAUCAAAAGCAAGUGUCUCAGUCCUCUUGAAGGUCUGCUGUGCUGGCACCUUGCAGAGCCCUAGGUCUGCAAGUUUGGAAGCAUUCUUCUCUCUCCUGCACUGCUUUGGGUUUAAUUUGUCCUUUAGUGGUGUUCCGGUCUAGCUUGCUGCAAACAAAAUUUGUGUUAUCUUUUUUUGUAAUGAAAACAGUAAUUAAAAACACUUCUAUGCUUUCCAUCUGGUUUUUGCAUCAAGAAAACAGGCAAAGAGAAAUUACUUCCCGAGUUCAGCCAGUGCAUACACAAAACCUGGAAAUUCUCUCAGUGAUCUCUUGCACAAUAUAGGAUACAGCCAAGGAAAUAAACUGAGACUAUGAACAUAAACUCUCACUCUCUUGUUGAAUGUCUGAACACUAUUAGUCUCACUGGACCAAAUAUUUGCACUGUUAUAUCCAGAGGAGCACCUGCUUUCUACUAAUAUAUACUGGUAUUAGCUGAAGAACAAUGUAGUUCAGCUUGUUGUCUAGGUUUGAAAAUCAGAGACUGAAGGGGUAGACCUGGAGAAAUGGGAAAAUGAGUGAUGAAAGGAAGAAUGCAGUUAGGAAUAAAAUGCUAGGACAGUCCUGUGAGCCUGAACCA